GGACGAACGCUGGCGGCGUGCUUAACACAUGCAAGUCGAGCGGUAAGGCCCUUUCGGGGUACGACGAGCGGCGAACGGGUGAGCAACACGUGGGUGACCUGCCCUCCAGCUCUGGGAUAACGACCGUGGGAAACCGGGUCUAAUACUGGAUAUGACUCCAUGACGCAUGUUAGUGGGUUGGAAAGCCUUGUGCGGCUGAGGAUGGG
rnacentral:rRNA from 1 species